rnacentral:rRNA from 1 species
UUCAAGAGUACGUGAAACCGUUUAGGGGUAAACCUGAGAAACCCGAAAGGUCGAAGGGAGAAAUUCAUUCGCGUUUCGACGUAGGCGUCGGAUGGUCGUGUGACGGGGAGCGUUCGCGUUUUCCGCACCUUCUGUCCGUCGAACCGGCGACGAACGCGUGCACUUUUCUCCUGGUAGGACGUCGCGAUCCGUUGGGUGUCGGUCUACGGCUCGCGGUGGAGCCCGUUCGCCAUUACGUGCGAGCGGACCCGCGUGUCCCGGCUGACUCGCUCGACGGUAUACGAAAGGUUUGAGGCCGCUCUCGGAGCGUUCGACUCGUGGCAAGCGCGCCAGAUGUGUCGGCGAUCGGACCUAGUGCCGGUUCCGAUCUCUGGUGACUGUUGGCUGCGAAGUUCUCGAACAGACCUCUGACCGAUCUGCGACGCUAUAGCUUUUUCCUUGCGAAGACCGAGGGAAGACGGGCGGUUCACCCUUAAAAGUGGCCGCUCCGCAUUCCCGGGGCGUCUCGUUCUCAUCGCGAGAAGAGGCGCACCAAGAGCGUACACGCUGGGACCCGAAAGAUGGUGAACUAUGCCUGGUCAGGACGAAGUCAGGGGAAACCCUGAUGGAGGUCCGUAGCGAUUCUGACGUGCAAAUCGAUCGUCGGAACUGGGUAUAGGGGCGAAAGACUAAUCGAACCAUCUAGUAGCUGGUUCCCUCCGAAGUUUCCCUCAGGAUAGCUGGCGCUCGUUGCGCACGAGUCUCAUCCGGUAAAGCGAAUGAUUAGAGGCAUUGGGGUCGAAACGACCUCAACCUAUUCUCAAAC